rnacentral:rRNA from 1 species
CGAUGCGUAGGGGUUCUGAGAGGAAGGUCCCCCACACUGGUACUGAGACACGGACCAGACUCCUACGGGAGGCAGCAGUGAGGAAUAUUGGUCAAUGGGCGCGAGCCUGAACCAGCCAAGUCGCGUGAGGGAUGACGGUCCUACGGAUUGUAAACCUCUUUUGCCGGGGAGCAAGCGUGCGUUCGUGAACGCGCGUCGAGAGUACCCGGAGAAAAAGCAUCGGCUAACUCCGUGCCAGCAGCCGCGGUAAUACGGAGGAUGCGAGCGUUAUCCGGAUUUAUUGGGUUUAAAGGGUGCGUAGGCGGGAUGCCAAGUCAGCGGUAAAAAUGCGGUGCUCAACGCCGUCGAGCCGUUGAAACUGGCGUUCUUGAGUGGGCGAGAAGUAUGCGGAAUGCGUGGUGUAGCGGUGAAAUGCAUAGAUAUCACGCAGAACUCCGAUUGCGAAGGCAGCAUACCGGCGCCCUACUGACGCUGAGGCACGAAAGCGUGGGUAUCGAACAGGAUUAGAUACCCUGGUAGUCCACGCAGUAAACGAU